rfam:Phycomyces blakesleeanus NRRL 1555(-) unplaced genomic scaffold PHYBLscaffold_2, whole genome shotgun sequence.
UCCUCAAUGGUCUAGUGGUUAUGAUCCGUCGCUUUCACCGUCGUGACCGGGGUUCGAUUCCCCGUUGGGGAA